GCAGAGACCUUGGGUUUUUUCACCUUCCUCUGUUGCGUGGGGCACGGGUUACUUGCAGGUUUGAACCAGAGUAAAUGAUGGAUUUUCUGUAACUUGAAAUCUUUAAAUCAAGAUCUGAGGACU